rnacentral:rRNA from 1 species
GUGACGAUAGCCUAGGAGAUACACCUGUACCCAUGCCGAACACAGAAGUUAAGCCCUAGAACGCCGGAAGUAGUUCGGGGGUUGCCCCCUGUGAGAUAGGGAAGUCGCUUAGC